UACGUAGGGGGCAAGCGUUGUCCGGAAUUACUGGGCGUAAAGGGCUCGUAGGUGGCCAACUAAGUUCAGACGUGAAAAUCCCCUCGGCUUAACCGGGGAACUGCGUCUGAUACUGGAUGGCUUGAGUGUGGGAGAGGGAUGCGGAAUUCCAGGUGUAGCGGUGAAAUGCGUAGAUAUCUGGAGGAACACCGGUGGCGAAGGCGGCAUCCUGGACCAUUACUGACACUGAAUAGCGAAAGCCAAGGGAGCAAACGGG
rnacentral:rRNA from 1 species